rnacentral:sRNA from 1 species
GCACUUCUCCUCGCUGCUGCCACAUGAGAAAGGAUGUGUUUGCUUCCCCUUCUGCCGUGAUUGUUUCCUGAGGCCUCCCCCGCCAUGCUGAACUAUGCAAUCUCCCUCCUUUGUCAAGUGAAUACACUAAGGAUGUUGGAUCCAAAAGUCAGUUAGUGACAGCUAAUCCCAGCAUAAUUCGGCAAAGGUUUCAGAACCUUCUGUGGUCCAGAAAGACAUUUGUGGACAACAUGAAAAUCUAUAACCACAGUUACAUCUACAUGCCUGCCUUUUCUAUGAAGACAGGAACAGAGCCAUCUUUGAGGGUUUAUUAUACACUGUCAGAUGUUGGUGCCAAUCAGACAGUGCUGUUUGCCAACCCCAACUUUCUGCGUAGCAUUGGAAAGUUCUGGAAAAGUAGAGGAAUCCAUGCCAAGCGCCUGUCCACAGGACUUUUUCUGGUGAGCGCAGCUCUGGGUCUCUGUGAAGAGGUGGCCAUCUAUGGCUUCUGGCCCUUCUCUGUGAAUAUGCAUGAGCAGCCCAUCAGCCACCACUACUAUGACAACGUCUUACCCUUUUCUGGCUU